ACUGGCGACCCGAAGAGCGAGCCGAGGGCAGAAACGGAACGAGGCAAAGAUCGCCAGGCGAGAGACGAACGCUCGUGCAGUUGGCAAAGAGGGAGCGAGAGAGAGAGAGAGAGAGAGAGAGAGAAAGCUGGAAAGAAAAAAGCGACAGUCGAAGUGAGAAGAGACGAAGAGAGCGAACUUGGAGGGAUGUGGGAGAGGGGGUGAAAGCUGUACCGCGAGAGGUCGUCGGGGUUGUUGGUAUGACGUCACGGCGUAAUGGCGCCGCCUUCGGCGUCGAAGGGAGCCGCGCGAUUGGUCGAGAGAAAUGAUGGCAGGCUUGCGUGCCAAUCGAUUGCCGUCGGUAGGCUCGAGUCUGGUCCGACGGUCGGUUGGGUAUGGUUGUUGGUAGGAAGGUAGGUAGGGUUGCUUAGAGAAGGGGCAGUGAACGUCGAGAAACAGGGAGAGGGGGAAAGUCGCCUCGGCAGGAAGUGAGCCCCGAGAGUGGGACCCGAAGGCGAAAUCCACAAAUGCUCAGACAGUAAGCUCGCUGGCUAGAGAGCGGAGGUGUUAGUAGGAGUCGCUCUUCUUCUUCUGCAUCUCUACGUUAGUACGUAGUAAUAACAGAAGUAGAAGCGAAUUCGGACGGGGACAACUCGAUAAAUCGAAUAAAGCGUGCAACAGUGAACACACAGCGGUAUUACGCGCGUACCGACGUAGGCGCGUCGGGAAGAAUCAUCGGCGUCGACGUUGUUAUCUUGGACACAGUGAGAAGAGAAAGUAUAGUGACAGUGAAUAAUCGUCGUCCGACGUGUAAACAUUGGUUGUUGGUCGUUGGCGUUGAGAAUCGUACGCGGACUCGUACGCAGCGCCGUGUCAAAUCGGUGCAGUGAUCCAGCAGUUUGGAAACGGUGUCGGUGGUUGUGUUCUAGCGCGCAAAGUCCAACAAGUGGUGCGGUAAUCGAAAGGAGAAGUUAAAACGAUCUCGUAUGACGGAGAGGAAAUUGAACGAUCCGGUUUCCAUGUCACACAAUCGAAGAGAAAUAAGGAGCAAUUCACUUGGCGCGUAGUAUUCGCCAGAUUCGAAUUGCCGUCGUGGUUUGACGGGCGACUCGGAGCGACAACGAUCUUCGGCAGUGCGCGACCGCGUGCUUCUCGGCGUUUCGUCGAAUUUCUUGACGUCGAGUAGUACAAGAAAAAACCAGCAAACUGUACGGGCACAGGGAGGAAGAGAUGCUCACGAUGGAGUCGGACCUUAAAGGCGGCAGCCUACACGGUCAAAUGCCACCUCAUCCGCAUCAAGGUGUCUCGCCGAUGGGACACCAUGCCGGUGUAUCACCGUACGGUACCCUCGGUUCAAUAGUUCACAGUCCAGCGUUAUCGGGAAGUCCUCCGAGUACCGGAGGCUUAACAUUGGGUUUGCAGCAUCAUCAUCAAACCCCGCAACAUCACUAUGCGUCGAUGCAGGCAGCGCAACAACAACAACAAAGUAUGCAUUCGCUGGCGCAACAAAGCGCUGCUCAACAACAACAACAACAUCACCCGCACCAACAACAGCAGCAGCAACAGCAGCAGCAACAACAACCGACGCAGCAACAUCACCAAGCGCCGAAUAAUAAUAAUAAUACCAGUAAGAACAAUAACAUCGACCGUGUGAAAAGGCCAAUGAACGCGUUUAUGGUAUGGUCCCGAGGCCAACGGCGUAAAAUGGCACAAGAAAAUCCAAAGAUGCACAACUCAGAAAUUUCAAAGCGAUUAGGUGCAGAAUGGAAACUUCUAAGUGAAACCGAGAAACGCCCGUUUAUCGAUGAAGCAAAACGAUUGCGCGCAGUACACAUGAAAGAACACCCCGACUACAAAUACAGACCGCGACGUAAAACAAAAACCUUGUUGAAGAAGGAUAAAUUCCCACUUGGAAGCGGAGUAGCCGGCGUCGGAGGUAUGCUAGGCGUAGAUCAGCGGCAAGUCGGUGCUACUGGUGGACCGCAGCAAGCACAAUUAUCUCGUGACGUUUAUCAAAUGCCAAACGGCUAUAUGCCUAACGGAUAUAUGAUGCAUGACCCGACUGCCGCAUAUCAACAGCACGUUGCGUAUGGCGGUCACAUGGGAGGCGCAGCAGCCGCUGCUGCCGCUUCUGCUGCUGGAUAUCCCAGGUACGAUAUGGGCCAUCACAUGGGCGGUGGCAGUCCGAGCCCCAUAAACAGCUACAUGAACGGUUACGGUGGUUACGGCAGUAGCAGCGUACCAGGUGGAUCUCCGUCACCGUACCAUCAAGCGCAACCCGGAUCGCAAAUCUCCAGUCACAGUCCUAGUGGUAGUAGUAUAAAAUCAGAACCGACGAGUCCAGCGAGCGGCGGAAUUCACACGCCGCCAACGGGAGCAUCGUCGUCAGGCGCAGCUGGGGGGCAAGUUGUGAAACGGGAAUACAUGGGCCAACAACAGAAUCAGCAGGCGCAGGGUGAUUUGAGACAAAUGAUCUCGAUGUAUCUGCCCCAGGGUGUCGAGCAAGGAGUCGUCCAGCACGGGGCCGGUGUCUAUUCGCCCGGUCCGUCACCGGAUCCGCUGGCUCAGCAUCAUCCAGCAAUCCCACCACUCGGUCACAUGAUAGCUUAAAAUGUCAGGCUUGGAUGGACAGCUGUUUACCCGGACUCAGAUGCGACAUCAAAAUAAGCCACUAAACAUUAAGAUUGAACAAGAGCAUAAAGAAAAAAAGGACUAAUGAGGGGUCGCGCAAACGAGAAAGUCGGAGAUUCAGGGGCCUAGACGAGAUCGCAAGGGGUUUGUCGCAAUUACGAAAGGAAAUUUCACUGACAAAUUCACGAGGAUAAACAGAUUCCAAUAAUUAAGUUAAUUCGAAUAAUUCCAAUUAAGUUAUACGUAAGAUUGAUUUCCACGGUAUAGGCGUGAUUUAUACAGUUAUGUUUUAUAAAUAUUUUCUUCAAAAUAUCUGCUAAAGAUUAGAAAUUAAAAAGAAAAAUAAAAAGUAAAAAAUUUUUUUUUUAAAUAAAGUAUCGAAUGGUUAAGACGGUUGCGCAAUCGAGGUCGGGAUCGUGGAAGUCUGGGUGGGAUCGUGGGGGUCUGGGUGGCGUCGCGAAAUGCUUCUCGCCAUCUCGGUAGGAAAUUUUCAUAGUGGACUAAACAGCAUCGUAUAUAAUUUGCCGCUUUUACCAAAGAAAAUUCAACUAACGAACGAACAAAAUUAGAGAAUCUCGAAUAAAGACUAAGUUACAGCUGAAAUCGGUUCCUGUGGUAUGCGCGACUUAACGCGCUAACACUUUGUCAAUAUUUUGCUAAAGAUAUCUGGCGAGAAUGAAAAUAAAAAUGAAAAACAGGAGAUAAAAAAAGGGUCGAGUGGUUAAGACGGUUGCGCAACCGAGAAGCUUCGAGAUAGGUGAAAAAUUUUACUAAGGAAUGAACGAGAUUAGAAAUAGGUCUAAAUUUUAAAUAGAGCUAGGUAAAUGAUAAAACAAAUAAAAUAAGAAUAACGAUAAUGAACUGUAAAAAUGUAAAUAAAAUAAGAAAGAAAGGGGGGGGAGGUGGGUUAAGACAGUUGCGUAACCGAGAAUCUGAUAGAUCGCAAGAUGGAUAUCGGGAAAUAUUUUUUCGUGACCUGCUAUAUCAAGAUUUUUUGGAUAUUUUGUACAUAUGAUGUACUAUGGAUUCAAAGGAGGCAAUCGACGUUCAACACAGACCAAAUACACAGAGAAGAAGCAGCAGACAGGAAAUUACAUUGAAUUAAAUUACGUUGAUUGCAGAUAUACGAUGUUGUACAUAAUUUCUGUUUAAUCCUCAAAAUAUGUGACAAAUCCACGCUUUUGAGGUCCGUAUUUUCUUUGCGUCCCGUUUCGUUAGAGCUUGUCCUUUUUUUCUAUCAACGUGGCGGCAGGGAGCAGCCCGUUUCACUAAGAUGAAGAUUAAAAAAGAAACAAAAAAAGAAAUAGUUGAUACAUGUGUUAAUUAGAUUAGAUAAAUGAGGCGGCGUAUCGACGACUAAAAUAAAGUUGACUUAUACGCCCGGUCCCUGAGGUGCUCUCACAUGUAAGAAGAAUUAGAACAGGGAUCGGUCAAGUCCGGCAAAGUCGUCGAUUCGCGUCAAUCUACAAUAGAUGAUAAAUUUUUAUUUUUAGGUUGUUCGAAAGGCGUAUUAGGUUGUACGAAAAUGUAUCUUUCGUUUUAUAAGGUGACAAUAGAUGAAUAACAAUUUCUGUUCCUUAUAAAAUGAAAGAAACAUUUCGGACAAUCUGAUAUCUUCUAACGGAGAAUGAUGACGAUAAACAUCGCGGAGGAAAAGAGAAAACGUGAGAUUAUCGAACCUCUUGCUGUGAUAAAAUAUUAGAGAAAAAAAAAAAUUGAAAACUAAAACUUAAAUAACAGCUCUGUAAAAUAUUUUCAGGAUGUAGUGAUCGCGGUAUAUGUAAAGAAGCGAUGACAGAGGGUAAGGGACUGUAAAUAUAUAUAUAUAUAUAAACAAAUUUAUCUGAAAUAUCAAAUAAUCAUAUAUAUAUAUAUUAUAUAUAUAUGUAUAUGUAUAACAGCUCGUGUAUAGCACGUCUAACGCUUCCGCGUUAGCAAUAUUUUUUCUCUUAUUCGUAUAAGUAACGUCGAUAUAACUCUCACUAACUCUAUUGUUUCUAUCGUGAUCGUUCUCCGCGUGUUUUUAAGACCACUCUAAUUAUCAUAAUAGAACAGAAAAUAGAAAUAGGAAAUGAGAAAGAAAGAGUGUACUGGUAUGAAUGACCGCGGAAAAGUUCGUAUGAUGAUUAUUUGUAUGAAAUGACGUGAUCGAAAUUGACAUACAAGGUAACACAAUAUCAUCACAGAUAUACAUCAAUUGCAAUGCCAUGAAUUUGGUUGAAAAGAACGAGGAGUGUAGCAGUUUAUUGUAUAUACCACUAAACUUGAUUUUGUAAACAUAGCUCCCGUCGAAACAAACAACUCUUCCACUGUUGUCCGGGAAGUUGUGUUUGUAUGAAAAUAUGAACAUAGUAUACCUUUAUAAACUUUAGGGAUGCUAACCUUAUAGAACGAUUAUUUGUGGUCAAUUACUCUUUUCAUUUUUUGUUGUUAUUACUUCUUAUUCAAUUUUAUUUAUUUUCCUUUAUGUGCAAGAGAAAAUCUUGUGCAUUUUUGAUAACAAAAGAAAAGGAAGGGAUAAAGGUAGAAUUAUAGUUGUCUAUCAAAAUUAAAAUCACGGCUCUUCGUAACCCGGAUACGUUCAUCGUUGUAAAUUACGUCUAUUUUAAUUUUUUCGUUUUCUAAAACUACUUAUACUUAUUCAAUUAUUCAAACUUUAUUAUUUUUGACGAAUGUCUCUGACAGGAUUUUAUUAUUAAUCUUUAAUAUUACAGCAUAUUGUAACCAUUAUGAAUAAUUUUCGUCGAUCUUUAAACUUAUCAGUAAAUUUUUCCAUUUUUCUUUAUCCUGUUUAAGCAUCCGGCCAUUUUCGAAUUCUGAUGAAUACAAAAUUGCGCCAUGUGUAUAUAUAUUAGAAUAAUAUGUGUUUGUACUGUGUAGAUUAUAACGUUUCGGGAAACAACAAAUUGCAUCCGAUAUGCAAUGAAAACGAACGGAGGACGACAAGAAAUUAGAAAUAUGAACCUAUUAGAUAAAGAGAUGAGGCCCGAAAUUUUGCAACGUUUCCUUGAAUCCGUAAAUUGAAUCAACUGUAACCGGUUCCAUAAUGUAACUGCGUCGUGGUCUGUUGUGAGAGAUUUUCAAAAUUACGAUUGAUUGAUUGACGAAACUUCACCGCGCAGAUCUUCCAGACAUUUUAGCGGGCCAGUUUCUCGGUUCAUAGUAUUUCACGACUUUUCGACGAAGCUUCUUCAAUAUUUUCAAUUUCUCAAUAUCGUAUUCUGUGAAAUUCGAUCGAAAGAAAGGGAAACAAAUGUGUUUCAUUUUUUAUGUAUUUUUAUCCUUUGAAUUACCAAAAAAAAAACUGCUGUUAUUU